AGAGUGAACGCUGGCGGUAGGCCUAACACAUGCAAGUCGAACGGCAGCACAGGAGAGCUUGCUCUCUGGGUGGCGAGUGGCGGACGGGUGAGGAAUACAUCGGAAUCUACCUUUUCGUGGGGGAUAACGUAGGGAAACUUACGCUAAUACCGCAUAAGACCUUCGGGUGAAAGCCGGGGACCUUCGGGCCUGGCGCGGAUAGAUGAGCCGAUGUCGGAUUAGCUAGUUGGUGAGGUAAUGGCUCACCAAGGCGACGAUCCGUAGCUGGUCUGAGAGGAUGAUCAGCCACACUGGAACUGAGACACGGUCCAGACUCCUACGGGAGGCAGCAGUGGGGAAUAGUUGGACAAUGGGCGCAAGCCUGAUCCAGCCAUACCGCGUGGGUGAAGAACGGCCGUUCGGUUGUAAAGCCCUUUUAGUGGAAAGAAAGCAGUUCGUUAACGUUACCGGUGUUCUAGACGUACCGAAACGAAGUAAGCACCG
rnacentral:rRNA from 1 species